ensembl:misc_RNA Metazoa_SRP Metazoan signal recognition particle RNA
GCAGGCUCAUUGGCACACGCCUGUAAUCCCAGCUACUUGGGGGGCUGAGGCCAGCGGAUGGCUUGAACUCAGGAGUUCUGGGCUGCAGUAGGGUAUGCCAAUCAGGUAUCCGCACUACAUUCGGCAUCAAUAUAGUGAUCCCUGGGAAGCUUGGGGUCACCAGGUUGCCUAAGGAGGGGUGAACCAGACCAGGAGGGAAAAGGAGCAGAUCAAGACUCCCCUACAUUCUGUCACAGUGUCUCAGAGCUGGUGAGUGCUCAUGAACGCAGCUUACUGAUAUAAUUCCACAGCCAUAGCUAGCUACUU